GAACUCCUCAACCCCAGUCAGAUUUGAAACCUGACUGGUGGCUGGACUUGGAGGCUUGCUGGCCGUUUUGAUUCGGUCGGCUCCUCUUGAAUGUAUUAGCUUGGACUUGUUCCUAAGGCUUCAUGGCGUGAUAGUUAUCUACGCUUUGAAUCUGUCUGUGGAAUAGUGUGGGUCUGGCUUCUAAUCGUCCUCUGGACAAUACUUUCAUA
rnacentral:misc_RNA from 1 species